rnacentral:rRNA from 1 species
GGUGAGAGCUCGGUCGGCCGAACCCGCUCCAAACAAACGCUAGUUACGAGAAUGUGAUGCGGCCUUUGCGUCGCCUAAUGACAUGACAACUUUCAACAACGGAUCUCUUGGCUCUCGCAUCGAUGAAGAACGCAGCGAAAUGCGAUAGGUAAUGUGAAUUGCAGAAUUCAGUGAAUCAUCGAAUCUUUGAACGCACCUUGCGCUCCUUGGUAUUCCGAGGAGCAUGCCUGUUUGAGUGUCUUGAAGUCAUCAACCCCUCCGGUUUUUUCGAGAAUCGGGGAAGGUUGGAUUGUGGGGGCUUGCUGCCGCGAGGCUGCUCCCCUCAAAUGCGUUGGUUGGACCUGUGGGUUGGACUCGAUUGGGCGUUGUAUCAACCUCACUCUGACCGAGAAGUUCCCCUUCCGCGUCCUUCCACGACUCGCCUUUGGAGAGGCGGUCAACACUCUUUGAAAUCUGACCUCAAAUCACGUAGGACUACCCGCUGACUUAAGCAUAUCAAUUAGCGGAGGAAAGAACUAACAGGAUUCCCCUAGUAACUGCGAGUGAAGCGGGAUGAGCUCAAAUUUGAAAUCUGGCGGUUCCGCCGUCCGAGUUGUAACCUGGAGAAGUGUUUUCCGUGCCGGACCGUGUACAAGUGCCUUGGAACAGGACGUCAUAGAGGGUGAGAAUCCCGUCUUUGACACGGACCACCGGUGCUCUGCGAUGCGCUCUCGAAGAGUCGAGUUGUUUGGGAAUGCAGCUCAAAACGGGUGGUAAAUUCCAUCUAAAGCUAAAUAUUGGCGAGAGACCGAUAGCGAACAAGUACCGUGAGGGAAAGAUGAAAAGCACUUUGGAAAGAGAGUAAAACAGUACGUGAAAUUGUUGAAAGGGAAACACUUGAAGUCAGUCGCGUCUGCCGGAACUCAGCCUUGCUUCUGCUUGGUGCACUUUCCGGUGCG